rnacentral:misc_RNA from 1 species
GAUGAAGAACGUAGCAAAAUGCGAUACUUGGUGUGAAUUGCAGAAUCCCGUGAACCAUCGAGUUUUUGAACGCAAGUUGCGCCCGAAGCCUUUUGGCCGAGGGCACGUCUGCCUGGGUGUCACGCAUCGCGUCGCCCCCCACAAUUCUCUGUAAAGGGAACUUGUGCUUUGGGGGCGGAUAUUGGUCUCCCGUGCUCAUGGCGUGGUUGGCCGAAAUAGGAGUCCCUUCGAUGGACGCACGAACUAGUGGUGGUCGUAAAAACCCUCGUCUUUUGUUUCGUGCUGUUAGUCGCAAGGGAAACUCUAAGAAAACCCCAACGUGUCGUCUUUUGACGGCGCUUCGACCGCGACCCCAGGUCAGGCGGGACUACCCGCUGAGUUUAAGCAUAUCAAUAACGGAGGA